UUUUAGCUGCAGACGGUGUUAUGAACAGAUACGCAAAGAGUGUCGUCGAAAACUCCAAGUGAACCGUCAAAUCGAGGCUCCAAGUGUGCAAAGUAAAGAAACUCAGGAGUGUUACUUUUCGUACAGAAUGUGUGUUGUAAUCAGUAUAAAUGUUGUGAACCACGUGCAAUUAUGGUUUGAACGGAAAAUGUGUUUAUUAUGCUCGUAUUAUGAGUGAUACAUUGAAAAUAAAAAAAAAGUAUAAACAAACUUUGAAACUCAGUAAUAUAUCCUUACAAAGUUUCGGAAUUUCAUUACACUUUCUAGUGCGUAUGAAAAGUCAUGCAAAAUUAAAUGUGGUUGCCAGAAUUGUUUGGAAUAGAAUAUUAGCAAAGGGUUGCCAUAUUUACUGCUUUUCUCUUUGCGUAUCUCUAUACAACAGUCCCUACACGCUGCUUUAUUUUAACUCUAAUUUGAUUAGGAUCUACUCAGUUUGGUAUUCUUAUGCAAAAUUUCAAAAAGGGAGUUAUCGGGGACUGGAUAAUUGAGUAACAUUUACUAAAAUUUUCAUAAUUACCAUGUUUACUCAGUUUUGAGUUAUUAUCCAUGAUGUUUACUCACCCCUGAGUAUAUGUAUAUGUCAAAAGUUUUCAACAGCGAUAUUAUCUGUUUCCGAAAAACAAUUGGUGUCGCUUUUUAUUCGUUUGCUAGCACUCAACAUCAUUAUUGCAGAGGAUUUGAAAACAUAAAAAACAUCUCUUCAAAAUGAACAACCGCAUGUUGUGUGUCCUGCGAUGCCGUUUUAAGUCAGGCUUUUAUUCGUGAUAAUGAACGGAAACAUUUGUAUCGAUGUACAGUGCCCAAUACAUGCAAUCGAUACAAUAUAAAUCCUUCGCAGUGUUUGGUGACGGAUGAUGACGGAUUUUCUGGUGUGCGUACUGUACAAAAACAUGAGCCACAGUUCACGGGCAACUGUGAACCGGUUGGUUGCCGCAUUAUAUAAAGACACGUGAAUGAUUUAAAACUUUUAUAAUGUUUCGAUGAAAAAUAAAUCUGUUUUGAUUGUUCUGAAUUUAUUUUA